CGCCCCGCCGCGGGUUGCGCUCAGGAGGGCGGCGGGGCCCUCCCGGCCCGGGGAUGUGGUGUGUCCCGCCCCGGCCGCGCUGCCAUAGGCUGAACUCGCCCCGCGCCCGGCCCCGCGCCCCGGGGCUGCCGCCGGAGUGGCGGAGCGCGGCGUCACUUGCGCUGCCCCGGGGAGGCGGGGAGCGGGGCCGGGCGGCGGGGAGGCGUCGCGCCGAGUGCCGCCCGGAGUUCGGCCGCCGCCGGGAGGAGCCGGGUGCCGCCGCGAAAUGUGUUCAGAGUUCACCAGGAGGCAAGAGCGAGGACUUUAGUGGUUGACUUCCCCUUCACGCUGCCUGUUGAGAUAAUAAGUGGCAGUUCCACAGAUGAGCCUCCAAACACCACAGCUCCAGCACUUAACAUCUACGUGGCAGAGAGCUUGGGAGAAAUAGGUAUCCUUUAAUUUCUUUAAAAAUUAAACAACUUGAUCAGUACAGGAAUUUCUGUAGGCGGGUUUUGAGGAUGUUCAGGGUCUGUAGUUACAUUUCUACUUUUGUCAAUUCUAAGUUUUGAUAAUCUGUAAGAAUCAGAGCUCCCCUGUACUGUUAGGGACUACCUUUUCCUUUUUCUCUGUCCCACAGCCCAGUUGACUUUUGAUGGCUUACACUAACCACGUGGCUCUUUGAGACUCUUUUCCAGUGGAAUAUGACACUUAGAACUAAUAUUUUAUGGUUAAGCCUUCCACUAGCUCUGUUCUAAUAUUUAUAAUCUAGUUUACUUGGCAUGGUGAAAUCUGUGUGCCAUGGCAGCUUACUCCAGGUGAGACUGCAUAGGAAACUUUGAAUGCAGUUGUUGGUGAGGAACAUCAUCAGUACAGAACACCUAAGGUUGGAAGAGAUCAUGUAGUCUGAUUAUUGACCCAUUACCACCACGCCCACCAAACAAAGUUCUUUUAAGGAGCUCUGAAGCGUCAUUUUCUUCCAAAAUUUCUUAGCAGCAUGGAAGAAAGCAGGCAAUUCUGAUAAAGUUUACUGCAGUAGUAAAUGGUGGGAACAAGUCAGCAAUAUUGUGCAGUCCAGAUCAUUUUGGAAGCUGCAGGCUGUUGAAUCAUGUAUUACAAUUUAAGCUGUAUAUUCUCUCCAGCGUUCAGAAGCAGAAAAUCUAAACCAUUUUUACAGGCUGAAUAAAUACAUCCUGAAAACAUGCAGGAGUCAUCAGAAUUAACCACUGGAAAACAGCUCCAUGUUCAAUUCCAUGGUAAGGUGCCUGCCAGUCCUCAGAGGAAGGAGGAAAGAGUGAGGGAGCAUGGGCAGCCCCUGUGACCUGCAGGUUUGGUGGGAGCACUUUUGGAGUUAACACUUGAAAACUGGGAAGACUUAGAAAAGACUCAGAAAAAUGAAUAGGCUGCCUUACGGUGUUUAUUUAAGAAUCCUCCUUUCCUCCUCUAAUUAGUAAAUAAACCGUGGUGUGUAGUAGUAAUGGAGUGUUUCACACUUCAAAGGGCUGUUUAGGGGUAUUUGGGACAGGCAGCGAAUGUGGCUAGGUAGGCCUGACUGUGGUCUGCUGCAGCUUGAGCAAAUAUCCUAACUCUGAAGAAUGAGAAACUCUCAGGAAAAAUUAGCACAAAUAGCUAAUACCAAAUAGUAAAGAUCUCUGUUAGAUGAAGAAUUGUAGAAAUGUAUAUUUAAUGUGUGCAAGCUCACAAGCUCACGGCUUCAGUUUGAUACAUCCCACAGCCAUACUGCUGGGAUCAGCACUUAAUGGCAUAAUAUGUAUUAUGAGACACUUUUCCUGUGGCAGAUGGACAAAGAGCCAAUGCCACAUGUGUGUCAUCCCAGGGACAGGUGGAACUGGCAAUCUCAGGCUGUUUUACGAGGCAGCUGCUUACAUAUAUCCUUGCAUACCAGGGCUGCUGGGGGGUCAGGCCCUUGCAGCUUGUCCUGUGGUGUGCUGCAAGUGAAGGCUUUUAGUCUGUGGAUCCACUGAACCUCUACAGUCUGUUUUUCUUGUUAAAAUUAUAUAUGCUGCAAAACAGGUACGAAUGUCUGGUUUCCCUGCAUCCAUUGGAUAGGGAGAUGGACAGCUUAUAAAUUCAGUUGUUACUACUUUGUAUUCAGUCAAGUAGACUUUGAUGGUUAUAAAGAAACAGCACAAAGUCAUCUUGAGUUUUGUGAGUGCUAGCAGGAAUACAAAUUCAGCAUAUCCC
rnacentral:lncRNA from 1 species